UCUGUUGCCCCAAGGUGGGUCUAACUUUCCUUUUGUAUUCAUGUUUGAUGGGAUUAAGGAGCCCGAGGGUUGUGUGGUGGACAAAGGACAGAGGAGAGGCGACGUUGCAGUUGACUAACUUCACUCACACAACUAGCUGAGCCUGGAAAGAGGUCACUGAGAGAAUGGACGAGCAGAUGGGAAAGGGAGGACUGAUGAAAUGCAGAGGAAAACCUUCACCCUGUGUAUCAAAGCAAGGCAAAGGGACAGACAUGAUUCAUAAGGAUGCAUUGACACAACAUGGAGAAAGAAUGGAAAACCCACAGUAUGGAGAAAGUCUCCAGGCACAGAGAGAUGAUUACUACCUCGUAAAAGGAGGAUUUUUAAUUUUUUUUUUUUUUAAAGGUCAUCAAUUGAGUAAAAUGAUCAAACAUUA